UACGUAGGGUGCAAGCGUUAAUCGGAAUUACUGGGCGUAAAGCGUGCGCAGGCGGUUUUGUAAGUCUGUCGUGAAAUCCCCGGGGCUCAACCUGGGAAUUGCGAUGGAGACUGCAAGGCUAGAAUCUGGCAGAGGGGGGUAGAAUUCCACGUGUAGCAGUGAAAUGCGUAGAGAUGUGGAGGAACACCGAUGGCGAAGGCAGCCCCCUGGGUCAAGAUUGACGCUCAUGACACGAAAGGCGUGGGGAGCAAACGAGGAUUACGAGUACCGUGAUCAAGUCCAG
rnacentral:rRNA from 1 species